rnacentral:lncRNA from 10 species
UCUAGAUGUUGGAACAAAGACAAUGGCCUGGGCCUCCCUGAUGACACCGCAGAGUCACCGUAUGUGUCCUGGAGUACUUGCUCUCUGCUUCUUUUUCAUGAGAGAUAAGUACAUUUUUAUCUUCUUUAGGCCACUGCUAUAUUUUUCCCGUUAAACACAGCUAUAUCCAAUCCUAACUGGUUCAACCUAUAAAAUGUGAUUAUUUCUUGUUUUAAGAUAACUAUAGCUACCAAUUAUUUUGCACUUAGUAGCUGCCAGACACUGUACUAAGUGUUUUAUGGGUGUCACCUUAUCUAAUUUGCACAACAAGAAUACUUACAAGGUAGGUAUUAUUAUCUAUAAUUUACAAAUGAGAAAAUGGAGGCUUAGAAAGCUUACAUAGUAUCUACAGGGUCAUAUUGAAAAAAGCAGAGUUCUAAACCAGGUUGGGAUGACCCCAAAACUUGUUCUAAUCUUAAUCACUGUUAUCAGUGUAAUGCAGUUAUUAUCCUCUGUGGGUAAAAGAUGCUAUUCCUGAUUCACUCACGGCAAUACGAAAUAUACAAGGAGCACAGUGUUG